UGAAAAAGAACCUGAAACCCUAUGCUUACAAGCACCGAGAGCACGUCAAAGUGUGAUCGGGUACCUUUUGUAGAAUGAACCGGCGAGUUACUGUAUGGAGCGAGGUUAAGCAGGAUAUGCGGAGCCGAAGCGAAAGCGAGUCUUAAGAGGGCGCGAGUUGCAUGCAGUAGACCCGAAACCGGGUGAUCUAGCCAUGACCAGGUUGAAGUUGGGGUAAAACCCGAUGGAGGACCGAACCGACCCCCGUUGAAACGUUGGCGGAUGAGUUGUGGCUAGGGGUGAAAUUCCAAUCGAACCCGGAGAUAGCUGGUUCUCCCCGAAAUAGCUUUAGGGCUAGCGUCGAGAGAAGAGUUGCGUGAAGGUAGAGCACUGAAUAUGUGAUGGCCCCAUCUCGGGGUACUGAGCAUAAUCAAACUGCGAAUGUCACGGAAACAUACUCGGCAGUCAGACAGCGGGUGAUAAGGUCCGUUGUCAAGAGGGAAACAGCCCAGACCAUCAGCUAAGGUCCCAAAAUGUAUGCUAAGUGGAAAAGGAUGUGGAGAUGUACAGACAACUAGGAGGUUGGCUCAGAAGCAGCCAUCCUUUAAAGAGUGCGUAACAGCUCACUAGUCGAAUGACUCUGCGCCGAUAAUUUACCGGGGCUAAGCAUACUACCGAAGCUAUGGAUCCCAAGGGAUGGUAGGGGAGCGUUCCAUGAACGGAGAAGUACGACCGAAAGGACGUGUGGAGAUCAUGGAAGAGAGAAUGCCGGUGUGAGUAGCGGAACGUGGGUGAGAAUCCCACGCACCGAAAACCCAAGGUUUCCAGAGGAAGGUUCGUCCGCUCUGGGUAAGUCGGGACCUAAGGCGAGGCCGAAAGGCGUAGUCGAUGGACAACAGGUAGAGAUUCCUGUACCCGUAUAUAUGUGAAGGAAUGACGGAGAGAGGAAGCUGCAGCCAGCGGCUGGAAGAGCUGGUGCAAGCGAGAUAUCGGGAUGGCAGGCAAAUCCACCAUCCGAAACGAGAAGGCGUGAAGCGUACGGAAAGCUACGGCGAGUACGGAAGGCAGUGGAGGAACUUCCAAGAAAAGUUUCUAACGUUAAGUAUAUAUGGCCCGUACCGAAAAUGGACACACAUGGGUGAGGAGAGAAUCCUAAGGUGAGCGAGAGAACUAUAGCUAAGGAACUCUGCAAAAUGACUCCGUAACUUAGGGAGAAGGAGUGCUCAUAGAGAUAUGAGCCGCAGUGAAACGGCCCAAGCGACUGUUUACCAAAAACACAGCUCUCUGCUAAGCCGCAAGGCGAAGUAUAGGGGGUGACGCCUGCCCGGUGCUGGAAGGUUAAGGGGAGGGGUUAACGCAAGUGAAGCCCUGAACUGAAGCCCCAGUAAACGGCGGCCGUAACUAUAACGGUCCUAAGGUAGCGAAAUUCCUUGUCAGGUAAGUUCUGACCCGC
rnacentral:rRNA from 1 species